rnacentral:rRNA from 1 species
UACGUAGGGAGCAAGCGUUGUUCGGAAUUACUGGGCGUAAAGCGUGCGCAGGCGGCUAUGCAAGACAGAUGUGAAAUCCCCGGGCUCAACCUGGGAACUGCAUUUGUGACUGCAAGGCUAGAGUGUGUCAGAGGGAGGUGGAAUUCCGCGUGUAGCAGUGAAAUGCGUAGAGAUGCGGAGGAACACCGAUGGCGAAGGCAGCCUCCUGGGAUAACACUGACGCUCAUGCACGAAAGCGUGGGGAGCAAACAGG